AUUGAACGCUGGCGGCAGGCCUAGCACAUGCAAGUCGAGCGAGCGGCGGACGGGUGAGUAAUGUAUGGGGACUGCCCGAUAGAGGGGGAUAACUACUGGAAACGGUAGCUAAUACCGCAUACUAUCGGAUAACCCAUAUGGGAUUAGCUAGUAGGUGAGGUAAUGGAUCACCUAGGCGACGAUCCCUAGCUGGUCUGAGAGGAUGAUCAGCCACACGGGGAGGUAGACCGGUCCCAGAGUCCUACGGAGGAAGCAGUGGGGAAUAUUGCACAAGGGGCGCAAGCCUGAUGCAGCCAUGCCGGGUGUAGGAAGAGGGCCCUAGGGUUGUAAAGUACUUUCAGUCGGGAGGCGUUACCGACAGAAGAAGCACCGGCUAACUCCGUGCCAGCAGCCGCGGUAAUUC
rnacentral:rRNA from 1 species